ensembl:lncRNA
AAGAGCCCCUGCAUAUCCCAAUCCAACCAGCCAUCACUAACACUCUUGCCAGGCUGACAAGGCAGCCUUUUUCCCCCUGAGCACAACUCUAAUUAACAGCGGUGGAUGUAGAGAGGCCAGGCAAUGUGGAGCUACUAAGAGGGCCUGGGGCACUGGGCAGGUAAUCAGCUUAAAUACAGGUUUAUUUCCUGUCCUCUGCUUCCUGCUGCGUCCAGCAGAGAGUGCAUUCUUUUAUCUGUUUAUCUCCAAUUUUCUCUGACUUGCAUCAUGUCUUUCAGACUCACUGUCACCUCGGCUUAAGUGCUGGGUCUUGGGCAGCCAUCUCCUCUCAUCAGAUGCUUUCAGGAAAUGGGUUUGUGGUCAGCAAAAAUAAGCAAGAGCACAAAAGAAACCACCGCCAGUCCUCAGGCGCUGACUGCGAGGUAGAGCGUCAGAGAGGGAGAGACUGAAAGAGAAAGAAAGACUUGGAGCCAAGUAUGAGCAGUAUCCACUGACCUGACAGUGGUAUGAGCUGUAUUCUGCAUUGCCUGAUGUGUUUAUUAAGGGGGGAAUCAUGUCAUAUUUCAAAGUCAAACACACUGAAAAAAUUGGUGUAAAAAGUUUCACUUAGAAAUU